rnacentral:rRNA from 1 species
AGAGUUGAUCCUGGCUCAGGAUGAACGCUGGCGGCGUGCCUAAUACAUGCAAGUCGAACGAGCGAGAUCCAGCUUGCUGGAUUAGCGAGUGGCGAACGGGUGAGUAAUACGUAAGCAACCUGCCUACACGGACUGGGAUAACACCUGGAAACGGGCGCUAAUACCGGAUAGGUAACGAGAGGGCAUCCUCUUGUUAUUAAAGGUUUCAAACACAAGUAGAUGGGCUUACGGUGCAUUAGCUAGUUGGUGAGGUAACGGCCCACCAAGGCGAUGAUGCAUAGCCGGCCUGAGAGGGUGAACGGCCACAUUGGGACUGAGACACGGCCCAGACUCCUACGGGAGGCAGCAGUAGGGAAUUUUCGGCAAUGGGCGCAAGCCUGACCGAGCAACGCCGCGUGAGUGAUGAAGGUUUUCGGAUCGUAAAGCUCUGUUGUAAGGGAAGAACGGCGCGGAUAGACUCCGCGAUUGACGGUACCUUACCAGAAAGCCACGGCUAACUACGUGCCAGCAGCGGC